GCUAGUAUGGUGUAGUGGUUUGAGUGUUGGACUAUGAAUCCAGAGGCCAGGGUUUGAAUCCCAGCUCACCCA